UGGCAUGCCCAUGCAAGCACAUGAUUUUGCUCUAUCAAUAAAUAUUGUAAUUAAACCUUUUUAUGCCACCCUUCUUUCAUCAUAUUCCAACUUAUUUGCUCUGAUAUAAGCUAGAUUUAACAUCUUCAGGCCCAGAAAUUAGGAUUCAAGAUUUGCCUCAUUGAAAACCGGUCAGGAGUUCAUGUUCACAAUCAAGCAGUGACCCCUUCUACUACUUGAGGGAUUCAGCAAAGGUACUUCUACUUUUCUGUCCUAACAAGAAAUUAGUGAAAAAAGAUACCUCUCAUUCAGGUAUUUUCUAUAAAUGCACAUUUAUUUAUAACAAUAGCACCAGGAUGAAUGUUUGUUACUCAUGAUAUUUUUAAUUCCGUUAACCUCUUGAAUAAAGAUUAUUGAAAUUUGACUUCUAAAGUUGUGCCAUUGCUUGUGCUGAACCAGACCAUCAACGGUACAGUCAAAGUUGAACAUGAAAACAAGGCGCUCUGCCAGUGUGCGUGCAUGAUCCAAUAGCAUGUGUUUAAUAGUAGCCACUAUGAUGUGAAAUACUAGCAGCUUCCUCCAUUUAUGCCAGUAUUUGAUAUACUUACCAAAGUUUAAGGGCGCCAAUCUUAAGAAGACAUCCCGGUUUGUGAGAAAAUUUCUUAUGCGUAUUAGACAAAAGAUGUAUCUAAUUUUCCUUAGGUUGCAUUGCAACACAUCAGUUUU
rnacentral:lncRNA from 1 species